rnacentral:tRNA from 1 species
UGGCUCAGAGGAUAAAGCGUCUGCCUGCAACGCGGGAGACCCAGGUUCAAUCCCUGG